rnacentral:ncRNA from 1 species
UUCUUCGGGGCAGGGUGUAAUUCCCGACCGGCGGUAUAGUCCGCGACCCGAAUGACAAACAUGGAGGUAAUAAGCUACAUGAUAGUCGUUCGGCUGAUUUGGUGUAAUUCCAAAACCGACAGUAAAGUCUGGAUGUGAGAAGAA